GACGUAGGGCGCGAGCGUUGUCCGGAUUUAUUGGGCGUAAAGAGCUCGUAGGCGGCUUGUCGCGUCGACCGUGAAAACUUGGGGCUCAACCCCAAGCCUGCGGUCGAUACGGGCAGGCUCGAGUUCGGUAGGGGAGACUGGAAUUCCUGGUGUAGCGGUGAAAUGCGCAGAUAUCAGGAGGAACACCGGUGGCGAAGGCGGGUCGCUGGGACGUUACUGACGCUGGAGACGCGAAAGCGUGGGGAGCAAACAGG
rnacentral:rRNA from 1 species